UACGAACUGUGCAAACGUUAUUCGGAAUCACUGGGCUUAAAGGGUGCGUAGGCGGCUGUCUAAGCAGGGUGUGAAAGCCCCCGGCUCAACCGGGGAAUUGCGUUCUGAACUGGACGGCUGGAGUGGGAUAGGGGUGUGUGGAACUUCCGGUGGAGCGGUGAAAUGUGUUGAUAUCGGAAGGAACGCCGGUGGCGAAAGCGACACACUGGGUCUCAACUGACGCUGAGGUGCGAAAGCGUGGGGAGCAAACAGG
rnacentral:rRNA from 1 species